CGCAACUUACAAGUGUCUGGCUUCAAGUAUCUGAAUUGGAUACAGUGACAAAAAGAGACACCCCUACCUCCUUCGCACUCUGCUUUGAUUCUUGUAAUCUCAACACCUAUCAAGUACAGAACACUUAACAUCAUUCAGAUGCCAGAAAGAUGGAGUUUGUGGAGAACGUUUGGAGACCUCGUGGAGACCGCCGCGGAGAGAAUCCUAUAAUCACUGGAGAGUGGAGGAAGAUAUCGUCGAUUUAAUCCAGAUUGGCUUAAACAAUAUCCUUGAUUUUGGAUAAUGCUUGGAUAUAUAGAAACUUCAUGGAUCCCACUUACUAGAUUUAAUAAACCAC